AUUUAUUUUUUAGUUUUCUAUUUCUUUAAGAAGAAAAAAGUUAAUUGAUUUCUUUUUACGUAUUUCUAUUUCUUUAAGAAGAAAAAAGUUAAUUGUUUUCUUACACAUAUCAACAUCUGAUCGAUAGAUUUGACACGUGGCAUAAUCCUAUGAGUUAGUAACUUUGAAAACCAUACUUUAUAUAAUAAGAUU
rnacentral:sRNA from 1 species